rnacentral:tRNA from 18 species
GGGGCUGUAGCUCAGUUGGGAGAGCGCCUGCCUUGCACGCAGGAGGUCAGCGGUUCGAUCCCGCUCAGCUCCACCA